UGCUGUCGUACAACUAUUACUUUCCGACUUCAGCUGUUCCAAGUCUGGCGACAACUGAACUGUUUGUGGUGUGUUUACCUACCCGGGGAGACUUGUAAAAUAGAACUGAAAGGUGAUUUGUUAUUGGACCUGUGUGUAUGUGUGAGAGAGAGAAUGACCGGUACAAACGGAAGGAUUUCAUGGCACUACGCGUGAAGAUGGGAAUUCCACCGGUAUGGGCGCUUGGCGCUGGCCAGACUGGAUGAGGAAGUGAGGCUGAGUGAGAAGGAGAUCACAGCUACCCAGGACUGCUGUUGGAGAGGACCUCUGGACAGGUUCCUGCAGCGCGUGUCAGGGUGGAGGUACCUGACUCAUGGAGAACUACUUCCAGGCAGAGGCCUUCAACCUGGAUAAAGUGUUGGAUGACUUUGAACAGAAGCAA